rnacentral:lncRNA from 1 species
AUUUAAUUGAGGGGGGGGACCGAACCCCGCGGCGGCGCAAAAUGGCGGCCGGGCGCGGGACUACAACUCCCAUGAUGCUCCGGCAGCGAGGAACUACAAUUCCCGCCGUGCCUCGCGCGACGGUGGGCGUGGCCUGAGCGCCUCCCUAUAAAUAGGCCCCACCGGGCGGCGCGCGCCCCUCUCGGCCGCCGCCAUCUUGGUGCUUCCCCGGCGCCGCCGCCGCCAUCCGGCUCCAUCCGCCGCCAUCCGCCGCCCCCCGCCCGCCGGGACUGAGCGGGGCUCCGCCGGAACGCCAUGAGGGCCAAGUGGCGUAAGAAGCGAAUGCGCAGGCUGAAGCGCAAGAGGAGGAAGAUGAGGCAGAGGUCCAAGUAACGGCCGGUACCGGGGGCACGGCCCGGAGACGCCCCCGGUGCCCCGGGGCUGUCCCGGUGCCCUCCCGGUGCCCCGGGGCCGUCCCGUUCUUUGCUUUGCGGCAAAAUAAAAUUCGGUUGUUGCUAAAACAGCGUGGGGGUGCUCUGCCGGUAACCGGGGAGGGGCUGGGGCGGGGGGGGGGAACGAACCGGGGAUCCCCCGGUAA